rnacentral:rRNA from 1 species
UACGAAGGGGGCUAGCGUUGCUCGGAAUCACUGGGCGUAAAGGGUGCGUAGGCGGGUCUUUUAAGUCAGGGGUGAAAUCCUGGAGCUCAACUCCAGAACUGCCUUUGAUACUGAGGAUCUUGAGUACGGGAGAGGUGAGUGGAACUGCGAGUGUAGAGGUGAAAUUCGUAGAUAUUCGCAAGAACACCAGUGGCGAAGGCGGCUCA